UACAUAGCGAGCAAAAGGAAGGCACAGAGUAACAAAGGGCCCCUACAGGACAAAUCUACAGGACAAAUCAGGACAAAUCAGGCCUCUUCAAUGAGUUCUUCACUUCAGUAUUCCUAAGUACUGACCAAGACAAUUCCCCUACCUUGAACAUAGAUAGAUGUCCAAAAGGCACCAGACCGCCAAAGUCUCCUUCUUGUAUCCUCUGCCCGGGCAUCCCCUGUGCUGCAGCUGUAUGAUUCACGUGUCCCUCCCAUGUAAAUUGGUUCCCAGAUGAAUGAGAGUGAUCGGGAAUGAUUAAAAUACAAUGGUAGUGGGUCUCUACUGAAUGGUCUGUAAUGACCAGGCCAUCACCUCACAAUGAUUCAUUCAGGAACCACGGACCUCACCCAGGAACAGAGACAAGAACCAACAUUUGAAAGACAAAAGACCCUGCAGAACCAGCAACUCUACCAUUGUACCCCACCAUUACAGACACCCGAAACUGCACAUCCCUGCAUGGAGCACACAUGCUCAGUACUCCAGGGGCUGACCCUUGCCUGGGCAUGCCUCCUGUCAUUAGAGUCACACAAGGUCUGCCCCUAUAAAAAGGGACAGUGAAGACAUACCCAGUGGGACGCCCUCUCCAUCUGGACCAGCACCAUACCACACCACCUAUCCACCCAGAGGCCCUGCUGGCAACCCCCCUCUGGACAACACUUACUGGACAAGGACCCCUUUCCAGCCUGGAUAGGUAGCUAUCACCCCCCCCCCCCUUCAACCAAGGACUUGGACUCUGCUUCUCUUCCCUAUCUGCACUCAAGCCCUUCCACUGAGUCUCUUCUCCUGCUGCCACUGUGAGUGCUGGGGGGGAGGGGGCAUGUGUGCAUGUGUGUGUGAACCAAUAACUUCAUGGGGUUGUGAAGUGUGUUGUCUGUGCAAUAAAACUGUUAUUUGGA